rnacentral:lncRNA from 1 species
AGAACUUGCAGAGAGCUGCGGUGACACUUGCUCCGCCGAUGCUAUGUCCCACGAGUAUGAUCUUGUGGUGAUGAGGGAUAUCGGAGAGGAGAGAGAAGAGAGGACGGUUAUAAUGGUCGAACUCGAAUACGGUGUUAGCGUCGGUGAGGUUGAUGCCGGCACUGGUGAGGUCGACGGUGGUGGCUUUGAAUCCGGCGGACAGAAGAAGAGUGGUGAGUCUAUACCAACACCAAGCACCGUGGCAGGCUCCAUGAACGAGUACAAAGUGAAUUAUUGGCUCAUCACCCCCGUCUCCUCCCAUCGCAGUCACUCA